CCUACGGGCGGCAGCAGUGAGGAAUAUUGGUCAAUGGGCGCGAGCCUGAACCAACCAAGCCGCGUGAAGGAUGACGGCCCCACGGGUUGUAAACUUCUUUUAUAAGGGAAUAAAGUGCGGCACGUGUGCCUUUUUGAAUGUACCCUACGAAUAAGCAUCGGCUAACUCCGUGCCAGCAGCCGCGGUAAUACGGAGGAUCCGAGCGUUAUCCGGAUUUAUUGGGUUUAAAGGGUGCGUCGUCGGGUCGUAAAGUCAGCUGUGAAAGGCUGGGGCUCAACCGCAGAAUUGCAGUUGAUACUGGCGGCCUUGAGAAGGGUUGAGGUAGGCGGAAUGCGUGGUGUAGCGGUGAAAUGCUUAGAGAUCGCGCAGAACUCCGAUUGCGAAGGCAGCGUACUGAACUGCGACUGACGUUGAGGCACGAAAGUGUGGGUAUCGAACAGGAUUAGAUACCCCGGUAGUC
rnacentral:rRNA from 1 species